rnacentral:rRNA from 1 species
ACGGGAGGCAGCAGUGGGGAAUAUUGGACAAUGGGGGAAACCCUGAUCCAGCGACGCCGCGUGAGUGAAGAAGUAUUUCGGUAUGUAAAGCUCUAUCAGCAGGAAAGAAAAUGACGGUACCUGACUAAGAAGCCCCGGCUAACUACGUGCCAGCAGCCGCGGUAAUACGUAGGGGGCAAGCGUUAUCCGGAUUUACUGGGUGUAAAGGGAGCGUAGACGGCGAUGCAAGUCUGAUGUGGAAGGCCGGGGCUCAACCCCGGGACUGCAUUGGAAACUGUAUUGCUGGAGUGCCGGAGAGGUAAGCGGAAUUCCUAGUGUAGCGGUGAAAUGCGUAGAUAUUAGGAGGAACACCAGUGGCGAAGGCGGCUUACUGGACGGUAACUGACGUUGAGGCUCGAAAGCGUGGGGAGCAAACAGGAUUAGAUACCCUGGUA